CCAAUGCCGUCUGGUUCUCGAAUCAGGGCCGUGUACGUCAACGGGAUCGCGGGAUCGCAGGUGACUGAGGUUAGCUCUCGCCGGUGAAAGUCGGCGAAACCUCCGAGAAGUUCAGCUGUUUCCGACACAAGUAUCGUGGAAAUCAAAGGCUCGCAUUUGCUUUCGUUUUGUGUUGGCUGAUGCCAUCCUCGUCGCCAAUAUCAUCGCAUAUGUACCCUGCAACUUUCCCAAUGGGAUAUCUAACAAUAACAAGCCAUUGGUCAAGUUACUUGAGGGCGAACAUGUUGUAACAACAAUGUUCGUUGGGAAUUUCAUCGGCGUUAUGUGUGCUCGAUCAUUGCAUUAUCAGUUCUACUCAUGGUAUUUCUUUUCUAUUCCAUAUCUGUUGUGGAGAACGUCGUUUCCUACUUUAUUACGAGAGAGGUUUCCACACUCUUAUAAAGAAUACUUCGUUCUCCUCCCCAACCGACGUGGGAUCUCAUCUGUUUGGGGGGAUCCGGUUUUGUUGGAAUGUAUAUCCUUCUAAUAUGUACUCCUCCAUGUUGCUUUCUAAGUCUUCACCUAAUUUUGCUUUGGGGUUUGUGGUCUGGGAGCAGCAGAGUAUCCUUAUGUUCAAGUGAAGUAUCUGAUAUAAAACAAAACUGAAAAACACCAACUCUUAGUCUGUCUCACUAUCAUUAGUUUGAAUCUAAUUGCAUAGAGUUUGUAUUCUCCAUGUUUGAUUUUCAGCUGGCUUUCUUGUAAUACUUUUCAUUUUUUCCGUCUUCCUUGAGCGGACGGAGGGGUUUCAGAUAGUAUUGUAUCGAAAUGUGAUCGGGUCAACUUUAGAUUCAUUCAAUUAUCAAUUCUAGUGUUGAAAUGAAAGAACGAUUUAGAUUGUCAAGACAAAGAGAAGAGAAGAGAAGCGAGUUCAUGACCUGUAAGCCUUCUACCUCCACACGGUAUUGCUCGAGAAGAUUUUCAAACUUCGACAGAUUUUUUAUAGCAAACCCGAGAAGAGUUUCUAAGUUUUGAAUGUCAUACCUCCAAAACUUUGGAUAAUCUUUUAAUGUCUAAAAUGCCUGUUUUUUUUUCGUAAAAAUAAUGUUAAAUUAUAAAUUUAGUUCCUUCGUUGUAUU